rnacentral:tRNA from 1 species
AUAGAUUUAAGUUAAAUUUUAAACUAUUAAUUUUCAAAAUUAAAAAUAUUAAUCUAUA